CUGAGUUACAAGGACACAUCCCUGGUUGACUCACUAAUAAAUAUAAUGUAUUAUUUUAUUGCCUCUGUCUCAUCUCUCCUUAGUUCCAUCAGUGGUGGCGUCACGGAGCCUCGGUGAGGCCACCACUUCAUCUCGGAGAAACUCAGCUUUAAGAGAUGGUAGGAUCCGCUUAGUUGGUGGACUGGACUACUGCCAGGGACGGGUGGAGGUCUUCUACCAGGGCAGCUGGGGGACGGUGUGUGAUGACGACUGGGGUAGGAGAGACGCAGGGGUGGUGUGUCAGCAGAUUGGCUGUGGCCACGCCGUUUCCUCCACCACCAAUGCCUACUUUGGUUACGGCACAGGACUGAUUCUACUGGACAAUGUCAACUGUAAUGGUUACGAGAACCAGCUGAGUAAAUGCUACAGUCUGGGAUGGGGGAUACACAACUGUGGACAUCAUGAGGACGCUGGGGUUAUCUGUUCAGGCUCCACCACAGUUUCUCCCAAGAACACAAUGCCCAUGGGAAGGGGAUUCUUCCAGACUGCCAGCAUUACAG